rnacentral:rRNA from 1 species
GCGUGAGCGAUGAAGGCCUUAGGGUUGUAAAGCUCUUUCACCGGUGAAGAUAAUGACGGUAGCCGGAGAAGAAGCCCCGGCUAACUCCGUGCCAGCAGCCGCGGUAAUACGGAGGGGGCUAGCGUUGUUCGGAAUUACUGGGCGUAAAGCGCGCGUAGGCGGGCUGUUAAGUCGGGGGUGAAAUCCCGGGGCUCAACCCCGGAACUGCCCUCGAUACUGGCAGCCUAGAGGAUGAGAGAGGCGAGUGGAAUUCCGAGUGUAGAGGUGAAAUUCGU